rnacentral:lncRNA from 1 species
GAAUGCUGCAGUGUAAUCAGAUGUGGAGUGCCCCUUGCUGGUGUAGUGUCAGCAGACUUGCUCUGUGCUAUGCCAGACAGAGCUCUGCCUUCCUUGUCUGGUCUGGUGUCAUUUCUCUCUGCAUGAAGCCUUGUGUCUAGCUGAGGGAUUGCUGACAUCAGAGCACUCAGGAAAGUUAAGUUAAAACACAGUAAACCCCUGUGUGGAUGCUUUCUCUUAGAAGCAAAGGAUGAUCCUGUUCCCUGCAGUUUAAUCUGUGAGCUUGAAGCCACAGUGCUUCAUCCCGAAAGGGUCCCAAAAAAAUGUCAUUUCUUGGCUCAAUUAGCCUUACAUUUUGGAGGCUGUCACCCUCUAAGUGUUUAAGCAGUAACAUUAAAAUGAGGAUUUCCUACCUAUUGUUCCUACCUAAUUCUUUCUGGCCAAGGCCUCUGUGACAUAUGAACAGCUGGAGCAGAUAUGACACAUCUGUGCCUCCCAAACCCCAACCUAGGAAGGGCCAUGAACUGCACUUCCCUUUGUUUCAGAUCUGCUUGUGCAAGGGCUAAGUAAAACAUGAGGGAAAAGCCUUAUCCAUGUUCUUGUCAAAUUUUUCAGAAUAAAAAAAAAAAAAAAAAAAAAAGACCCUGAAAGAACAAUUUCACAUUCCAGAAAAAUCAGAAGAAAAAUGCAGGAGAAUUUAACCUUCCAAGAGCUCCAUUCUGUUCUGACCAGACUGCUUGUGGUAGAAAAGCUUGUUUACAGUUAGCUUGGGUUUCUCUGUAUAACACCAUAGACUGCAGCAUACUUACAUCAAGAGCAAUUACUGAAAAAACGAUGUCCUCAAGCAUACCUCUAAAUAGAUGUUUACUUGGUUUUGUCCUUUUUUUUUUUUUUUUUUUUGCUUGUGGUUUCCUAGUUUGGACUACCUCCUUUGGUCUUUGGAAAGUUAGCUUACAUUCUGGGUACGAACACUUCCAGUUUGAGUAAUGAAAGUAAGCAAGGUGGAACACAAUUCCUGAUCCCUGCCUACCUCAAAAACAUGGUGAGCAUUGAGGUGUACCCUCCUUCAGAGCACUGAGCUGCCUCACUUGAAGAAACUUCCUGCUCUGCUGGAGUCCAGGGACUUGCUGCGCAAUGUGCCAGGCUCUGCCUGUGUGCUGCAUAAGAGAGCCAAGAGAGAACUGAACAGUCUUUUACUCUGCUCAGAAUUCAGAGCACUUUCCUAAAUCUCACCCAAAAUAAAGCUGUUUCCAUCCUUUUGGACUCAGAUAAACUGCUAAUUUAAGCUGGUGAUGUCCAACCUUGAAUAUCACAAUGGCUUGUACCACAAUGCUGAAGGUCAGUUACUGCAUUCACACAGUCCAAGAUUUUUAGUCACUACAAUUACUCCACAUCUCCUGCUCAUUUGCUUGGAUAGAGAUCACACUCAUCUCAAAUGAGUAGGUAGCUUUUUGAUGGAUACUUGACACAACAGAUCAUAAAAACGUGCCAAGUUUUUUCUUACGUCAGAGUAUGCUGUUCCUUUUCUUCUCUCUUUUCCUUCCUUGUCUUUAAUUCUUUCAAUUUUCUUUCUAACAUGAAAUUAACUAUAUUUAGUGGACUGUGUGGAGUUAAGAAGAAAGAAGAAAGUUUUUGCUAUUUUGCUGUUCCUUCGAGCAUCUUUCCUCUGUAUCCAGUCACCUUACCUGAUUAUAAGUGUAACAGUCACAGGGGAGAGAAAUAUCUACAUAAAAUUAAAGUGAGAUAUAAAGUAGAUAUAACUAAUACCAUACUUUACCAAAUAAAAAAAUUUCAAAUAAUAAUUUCUCUUGAUAUCUGUUUUACACAGAAUGAUUUACCUAAGAUAUUAAUUAUUCACUAUUUUUUUCAAGACAACAACAGACCUUUUCCUUCAAUUUUUUUUUUUUUUUUUUUUUUAGUGAGAUGUGUGUGAGAGGAGUGUAUGACAAUGUCAGAAAAAAGGCACUGUUGAUCUAUUUAUUCAUUUAUUGCUGUGUGAGAGAGUGUCUGAGGGGAGGUCUGCCUGUUACUCACCCUUGCCUCUCUUGUGAAAAUCAUGGCUCAUAAUGGCCUUGCAGUAGGACUGGCUACAACAGCCCAGAUGUUUUCUAAGCAACAGUAAAUGCUUUACUUCAGUCUCUUGUUUUCAAGAGGGGGAAGAUUAUUUGAGAAACAACAACAGGAAACCUUAUGAUUUGGUAUUCAUGGGAAAGUGAGAUUACCAAACUUUCAAUUGAUGUGUUGUUACAAAUAGCUUCCAGCUAAAUCUUCAUCUGAGUUACACAAAGGAGUGCAGCACAGAGGAGAAGAGGUGCUGACAUGCAUGUAGGAAUGCCCUUUCAUUACCAGAGCUUGCUGGAGGUCAGGGCAUAUCACAUGUGGAGGCAACUCUGUUCACAGAAUCAUUAAGGUUGGAAAAAAACCACCAUACAGUGAUUGAGAACCUGGUGGAAGGUAGGGCCAACCCAGGGGAGCUCAGGUGCAUGCAAUGAACCUGAGUGACUGGAAGGAUCCACCCCUUCCCAGACUUCAUUUAAAGGUUGGCAGUGGAGGCAAGGGGGGAGAAAUCUUGCUGGAGAUGACUAUGUACUUGAGGCCUUCUGAAGUUAUGGUGAAGAAAAUACAUUCUGUUGAGUUAGCUGAAAGUUGACUGUAUCACAAGAACUCACUGCAAGUGGAGUAUGUGAAAUAGAUGCAGGACAUGUUUUGAGACUUACCAUAGGGAAAGCCAGAGCAAGUUGAAGAAAUCAUGAAACCACAUUGCAAGCAAGUUUUUUAUGAUUUCAGAAUGGCAUGAUUUCCAGUUUCAGAAAAAAAGCUUAAACCAUGUAGAAAAAACAAUUUCAGAAACAAAACUUGAACAUGUGAC